rnacentral:rRNA from 1 species
CGACCGGCGCACGGGUGAGUAACGCGUAUCCAACCUGCCCACCACUUGGGGAUAACCUUGCGAAAGUAAGACUAAUACCCAAUGAUAUCUCUAGAAGACAUCUGAAAGAGAUUAAAGAUUUAUCGGUGAUGGAUGGGGAUGCGUCUGAUUAGCUUGUUGGCGGGGUAACGGCCCACCAAAGCGACGAUGGAUAGGGGUUCUGAGAGGAAGGUCCCCCACAUUGGAACUGAGACACGGUCCAA